rnacentral:antisense_RNA from 1 species
CUUCACCGACCCCAGCAGCACCGGUCGUUCCUCGGGCCGCUCGCGUCCGUAGGUGGCCAGCAGGGCGUGGGCCUC